UGGGGAAUUUUGGACAAUGGGGGAAACCCUGAUCCAGCCAUCCCGCGUGUGCGAUGAAGGCCUUCGGGUUGUAAAGCACUUUUGGCAGGAAAGAAACGUCGCGGGUUAAUACCCCGCGGAACUGACGGUACCUGCAGAAUAAGCACCGGCUAACUACGUGCCAGCAGCCGCGGUAAUACGUAGGGUGCAAGCGUUAAUCGGAAUUACUGGGCGUAAAGCGUGCGCAGGCGGUUCGGAAAGAAAGAUGUGAAAUCCCAGAGCUUAACUUUGGAACUGCAUUUUUAAACUACCGGGCUAGAGUGUGUCAGAGGGAGGUGGAAUUCCGCGUGUAGCAGUGACGCGUAGAUAUGCGGAGGAACACCGAUGGCGAAGGCAGCCUCCUGGGAUAACACUGACGCUCAUGCACGAAAAGCGUGGGGAGCAAAACAGGAUUAGAUACCCUGGUAGUCCACGCCCUAAAACGAUGUCAACUAGCUGUUGGGGUCUUCGGACCUUGGUAGCGCAGCUAACGCGUGAAGUUGACCGCCUGGGGGUACGGUCGCAAGAUUAAAAAGCUCAAAUGAAUUGA
rnacentral:rRNA from 1 species